rnacentral:rRNA from 1 species
UACGUAGGGUGCAAGCGUUGUCCGGAAUUAUUGGGCGUAAAGAGCUCGUAGGCGGUUUGUCGCGUCUGCUGUGAAAACUCGGGGCUUAACCCCGGGCCUGCAGUGGGUACGGGCAGACUAGAGUGCGGUAGGGGAGACUGGAAUUCCUGGUGUAGCGGUGAAAUGCGCAGAUAUCAGGAGGAACACCGGUGGCGAAGGCGACUUACUGGACACAUAUUGACGCUGAGGUGCGAAAGCGUGGGGAGCAAACGGG